ACACUUUUACUCCCCAAACUAUGAGUCGCAUGACACUUUGGUCUUCAAAUUUUAAUUUAUAGCAAUUUCUAACUAGAACAUUCUAAAUUAUUGUAAUCAAGUUCAUACAAUCCAAUUUAGUUGAAUAAUUUUUAACGUAUUAAUAAUGCAAAAAUAACGAAGCAUCUUAAUUUCUGCUACAUCGUCAAUUAUAGUAGUCACAUAUUAAUUUAAUAGUAGCAGCACGUUGCUAUUUAAUCAAUUAAAUUG
rnacentral:lncRNA from 1 species